rnacentral:rRNA from 1 species
AGCGAACGCUGGCGGCAGGCCUAACACAUGCAAGUCGAGCGGCCGUAGCAAUGCGGCAGCGGCAGACGGGAGAGUAACACGUGGGAACGUACCCUUUGGUUCGGAACAACCCAGGGAAACUUGGGCUAAUACCGGAUAAGUCCGUAAGGAGAAAGAUUUAUCGCCAAAGGAUCGGCCCGCGUCUGAUUAGCUAGUUGGUGAGGUAAUGGCUCACCAAGGCGACGAUCAGUAGCUGGUCUGAGAGGAUGAUCAGCCUCACUGGGACUGAGACACGGCCCAGACUCCUACGGGAGGCAGCAGUGGGGAAUAUUGGACAAUGGGCGCAAGCCUGAUCCAGCCAUGCCGCGUGGAUGAUGAAGGCCCUAGGGUUGUAAAGUCCUUUCGGCGGGGAAGAUAAUGACGGUACCCGCAGAAGAAGCCCCGGCUAACUUCGUGCCAGCCGCCGCGGUAA